GUUUCCUUUCUUUUACUCAGUGUGAGACCAACAAUAUGGAGCUUUUCUAAAUACCUCUUCCUCUCUAGUGGAAUAGGGUGCCAAAAUAAUACAUAGACAUCAGAGCUCCUACACUUUUUC